GCGAGAGACCUCGGAACACUCAGCCCUGAAUGGGAUGUCUCUACGGAACACUCAGCCCUGAAUGGGAUGUCUCUACGGAACACUCAGCCCUGAAUGGGAUGUCUCUACGGAACACUCAGCCCUGAAUGGGAUGUCUCUACGGAACCUUGCGGAAGAUAAGGUGUAAAGCUUUAGAGUCUCAUGGGGGAUGCAAACCACUCUCAAAGGCAGACCCUGUGCCCAGCAGUAGAUGGCCAACACAAAACGAACUUAACGGCAUCUUUGGAGGUUCCUUGUCUCAAAAUGUUCAGUCAGGAUGAACAAUAGAAGAGAUCUUCAUGACUACAUGUCAAGAUGAGACAUCUCCAGGAGACAAAAGUAAAUAAGGAUAGAAAGGAGGCUCUCCUACUGAACCUUGAGCUCACUGAUUGGCUAGACUCGACAUCCGGCUCCAGGGAUCUGCCUGCCUCCAGAUGGAUGCUGUGUUCCUGGCUUUUCUGUGGGAGCCAGGGUCUGAAUCCAGAUUUCCAUGCUUGCAUAAUAAACACUUCACUCUCUGGGCCGU